AAUUCGUGGUGUGGGCACCUCUGAAUCAACAUCUUGAAACAAUCCCAUUCUUUGUAAAGGCUUUCUCCUUCUAACUGCUUAAACAUUGAAAUUUCCCUUCUUAGCU
rfam:Gossypium hirsutum cultivar TM-1 chromosome 11, whole genome shotgun sequence